CGUACCUAUCCCCUUGCCCUUUGAGUCUCAGAAUUUUUGCAAGUUCGACAAUGGACUUCUAAAUAAUUCUGAGUCAAAAGGGGAAAAAAGUUACAAAUUAGCACUUGAAACUGACCACUAGUGAAAAGAAAACAAAUCACAACUUGGAUCUUUAGAAGAGAACUUUAGUCUUCAUGCUUCUAUAAGGAAACCAGGAAGGGGUCGGUGACAGCCGAGGAGCCGGGCGAUGCCCUCAGCCGACGGGGGGACAGAGGCGCCGGCAGGGUUUCUUGGUGCCUCUGCGGAGUCCCUGGGCCAGACCCCAUAGUGAAGGCUGCAGGAUCUUCCUUCUGGCCCCAGCAGCUCUGGCUGAGUCCACAGGUGCCCGCCUGGCUUCAAGCUUCUGGGAAGAGCGGAGUUGUCAACAAGAGAGCCGGAGGGCUGAGGCCCGGUGGGAACAUGCCAGCUAACCGGAGCUCUCCCCAGUGGUCCUCAGCCCUGGCUGCAGAGAAACAUGGCAGCUUGUGUAAGAUGAAUAAAAUGCCCUGAGAAGGGACAUGACUUGCCCUGCCACCCAGAUCGUGAGUGACAGCAUUGGAGUGGAACCAGGUCUUCUGAAUGUGUCCCCCACCCUCACCACACUACAGCCAAGACCAAGUUUCCCACUGAAAAUUCCCCUCGAGAUUCUGUAAACAGAGGAAGACGAUGAGAGAGCCAGACCCUGCCCGACAGCUCCCUCCUUCUGACCUUCCUGUGGAUGCUGUCACCUCUGGCGACAGGCUGAUUGUCACAAGGACUCAG
rnacentral:lncRNA from 1 species